rnacentral:rRNA from 1 species
AUUGAACGCUGGCGGCAGGCCUAACACAUGCAAGUCGAACGGUAACAGGAAGAAGCUUGCUUCUUUGCUGACGAGUGGCGGACGGGUGAGUAAUGUCUGGGAAACUGCCUGAUGGAGGGGGAUAACUACUGGAAACGGUAGCUAAUACCGCAUAACGUCGCAAGAUCAAAAAGGGGGACCUUCGGGCCUCUUGCCAUCGGAUGUGCCCAGAUGGGAUUAGCUAGUAGGUGGGGUAACGGCUCACCUAGGCGACGAUCCCUAGCUGGUCUGAGAGGAUGACCAGCCACACUGGAACUGAGACACGGUCCAGACUCCUACGGGAGGCAGCAGUGGGGAAUAUUGCACAAUGGGCGCAAGCCUGAUGCAGCCAUGCCGCGUGUAUGAAGAAGGCCUUCGGGUUGUAAAGUACUUUCAGCGGGGAGGAAGGGAGUAAAGUUAAUACCUUUGCUCAUUGACGUUACCCGCAGAAGAAGCACCGGCUAACUCCGUG